AUUGAACGCUGGCGGCAGGCUUAACACAUGCAAGUCGAGCGGGGGGAGGUAGCUUGCUACCGGACCUAGCGGCGGACGGGUGAGUAAUGCUUAGGAAUCUGCCUAUUAGUGGGGGACAACAUCUCGAAAGGGAUGCUAAUACCGCAUACGUCCUACGGGAGAAAGCAGGGGAUCUUCGGACCUUGCGCUAAUAGAUGAGCCCAAGUCGGAUUAGCUAGUUGGUGGGGUAAAGGCCUACCAAGGCGACGAUCUGUAGCGGGUCUGAGAGGAUGAUCCGCCACACUGGGACUGGGACACGGCCCAGACUCCUACGGGAGGCAGCAGUGGGGAAUAUUGGACAAUGGGGGGAACCCUGAUCCAGCCAUGCCGCGUGUGUGAAGAAGGCCUUAUGGUUGUAAAGCACUUUAAGCGAGGAGGAGGCUACUUUAGUUAAUACCUAGAGAUAGUGGACGUUACUCGCAGAAUAAGCACCGGUUAACUCUGUGCCAGCAGCCGCGGUAA
rnacentral:rRNA from 1 species